CCCCACUAUGCCCAACCGUAAACUUUUAUUUACACUCAAAUCGCCUGGGAACUACGAGCAAAGCUUAAAACCCAAAGGACUUGACGGUACCCCAUAUCCACCUAGAGGAGCCUGUUCUAUAAUCGAUAAUCCACGUUCAACCUCACCAUUUUUAGCCUAUCAGCCUGUAUACCUCCGUCCUCAGCUUACCUCGUGAGUGCAACCUAGUAAGCUUAAUGCCCCCACGCCAAUACGUCAGGUCAAGGUGCAGCAAAUGAAAUGGGAAGAAAUGGGCUACACUCUCUAACCUAGAAAACACGAAAGACUACCUAUGAAACCUAGUCAGAAGGCGGAUUUAGAAGUAAAAAGAAAAUAGCAUAUUCUUUUUAACCCGGCACUGGGGUGUGUACACACCGCCCG
rnacentral:rRNA from 1 species